AAGUUACCCCGGGAAAAUCUGUAGGGCCGCGGGGGCCCACAUCGGUCCAAGGUCAGAGAAAUCUGCACCGUCAAUUUCAGGCCGACGUUUGCUGAGCGCUGCCCACGUGCUGCACGCUGUUGUAAGCGCUCGGCUUGUAUUAAUUCGUUUAAUGCUCCCAGCGAUUCUAUGGGGCAGCUAUUAUUAUGAUCCCAAUUCUAGAAAUGACAAAACUGUAGUCCGGAAAAAUUAAUUGCUCAAGGACACUAACUAGUAAGCGCAAGAUGUACCGGGGCGGAGGAAGCGGUGGGGGCAGAUAUAUAGAAAAAAACCAAACGGGCAAAAAGCAUUUACGACUUUAGUAUUUCAAAUUGCAGGUUACGUUUUCAGAGUCAGGGCCGCGCGAGCCUAGUGGGGUGGAGUGUGGGUUCCAGGCUGUGUCCACGUGUAUCCUGGGGUAUCAGGGGCGAAGGGACCCCGACCGCGGUCGUGGGUCCCGCGGCUCUGUAGUUAGGCUGACUGGUGAGGGUUCUUCGCCUACCUCGCCGCCUCCCACAGGGUGUCCAGAGUCGGCGCCUCUUGCAAACGGGAAAUGGGGCGGAAAAGAGGAAAUUUCCGCCUAAAAACAAACGAACCAACGCGGGGGCUGCUUUGCCGGCGGCCACAGUCGGCGAGGAUCCUGAGGCGCCGGCGCCGGUCGUGCAGCAGCGCUCGGACACCUUCUCCUUCGGCGCUUUCACGCCUUCCCCGGGGGAUCUCGGGGACGAGGGACUCCUCGACUGCAGAUCAGCCGUCUGUGGUUCGACCCCUGGCCCAGAAGACAAGAAAGCGGUCCUGAAGCCUCUUCAGGGCUGAGAACGCUGAGGUCCAGAGAGAAAAGCGCCUUCCCCAGGACACCUCGCUGCACAAGCAACUGGAACUGGCUUCUCCGGAAGCCGGCGAUUUGUUUGUUUUCUGCUAGACCUCAAGAGAGCCCCAGGAGCUCCGGGUGUAACUUACAAAAGAAGACAGCCCCCUGCCCCUUGCUACAGGAACCAAAACAACUGAACUGAAUCCUGCAUUUCUUCAGCAAGGCCUAAGCAGGUUUGCAACAGAGAGUGCGCGUUCCAAUAGAGGGGCAUCAAGUAUGUGACUAAUUUUCUUCUUUACAUAAUAACCCGGGUGGAGGGGUAGUGUCCUAAGGUGACCCAGCAAAGUACGAAGUAAGCGACAAUAUUUGAAGGAAUUUGUCCAUCUAGGGGCCAAA
rnacentral:lncRNA from 1 species